AUUCGCCUACGGGGCGCAGCAGUGAGGAAUAUUGGUCAAUGGACGCAAGUCUGAACCAGCCACGUAGCGUGCAGGAUGGCGGCCCUCCGGGUUGUAAACUGCUUUUAGUUGGGAAUAAAAGGGGGCUCGUGAGCCCCGUAUUGUAUGUACCAUCAGAAAAAGGACCGGCUAAUUCCGUGCCAGCAGCCGCGGUAAUACGGAAGGUCCGGGCGUUAUCCGGAUUUAUUGGGUUUAAAGGGAGCGUAGGCCGGCUUUUAAGUCAGCUGUGAAGGUCCGCGGCUCAACCGGUGAAUU
rnacentral:rRNA from 1 species